rnacentral:rRNA from 1 species
UACGAAGGGGCUAGCGUUGUUUCGGAAUUACUGGGCGUAAAGCGCACGUAGGCGGAUACUUAAGUCAGGGGUGAAAUCCCGGGGCUCAACCCCGGAACUGCCUUUGAUACUGGGUAUCUCGAGUCCGGAAGAGGUGAGUGGAAUUCCGAGUGUAGAGGUGAAAUUCGUAGAUAUUCGGAGGAACACCAGUGGCGAAGGCGGCUCACUGGUCCGGUACUGACGCUCAGGCGCGACAGCGUGGGGAGCAAACAGG